AUACAUAUAUCAACCUUCCCUUUCGGUGAAUGGUUUGGAUGUGGGGGUUUGCUGGCCUCUAAAGAGUUCAGCUCCCCUGAAAUGCAUUAGCGGAACAACCUGGUUCAUUGGUGUGAUAACUAUCUACGCCGUUGAAUGUGAGGGGCAGUUCAGCUUUCUAACAGUCCUUGGACAAAUCAUCAUUA
rnacentral:misc_RNA from 1 species